CGCCCAAAUGAAAAACACAUGCUAUUUCCCCUCUGCCUGAGCAAUUUGGCAUUCCGUGUACAAGUUCCCAGGAGAGGGGCUGGGCCUCUCCAGGCAGGAACUGGAGCCAGAGGCUUCCCCUGCUACUCGCUGGGAUAGAAGAACAUCAGGAAUGACUUUCAGUGCAGUAGUUCCUGUGGUGCUCACAGAAGCCACGCGGCUUGGGUGCAAUCAAACUGCGGCCCAGCCUCAUCGUGGCAGGAAUCCAGAUGCAGGCCAAGUACAGCAGCACAAGGGACAUGCUGGAUGACGAUGGGGACACCGUCGUGAGUGUGCAUUCUCGAGCCUCGUCUCCAAGCCAGCAGCCAGAGGCUGGACGCAAAGGGCACCGGCCUCCCUCUUCAGUUUGGCGACCAGUGGCCCUGACCUUGCUGACUCUGUGUUUGGUGCUGCUGCUUGGCCUGUUGGCCCUGGGGCUUGUGUUUUUCCAGUUCUACCAGCUUUCCAACACUCAGCAAGACAGCAUUUCUAACAAGGAAGAAAGAUUGGCGAAUCUCUCCCGACAGCUGCAGUCUCUCCAGACAAAGAACAGGAAGCUUGCAGAAAUUCUGCAGCGCGUGGCUGAAAAACUGUGUCGUGAGCUGUAUAACAAAACUGGAGAACACAGAUGCAGCCCUUGUCCAGAAAAAUGGAAAUGGCAUGGGGACAAAUGCUACCGAUUCUGUAGCGACAGCAAGAGUUGGCAAGGCUGUGAAUAUUUCUGCAUUGCAGAGAACGCCACCAUGCUGAAGAUAAGCACGCAGGAAGUGCUGGAGUUUGCCAUGCCUCAGAGCUACUCUGAGUUUUUCUACUCUUAUUGGACAGGGCUAUCCCGCAAUGGCAGCAGACAGGCGUGGCUAUGGACCGAUGGAACCCCGUAUUCCUCUGAACUGUUUGAGAUUAUAAUAGAUUUCACCAGCCUAAGAAGCAGGGACUGUGUGACCAUCCUCAAUGGGAAGGCUUUCUCAAAGGACUGCAAAGAGUUGAGGCGGUGUGCGUGUGAAAGAAGGGCUGCAGCAGUGAAGCUUGAGAGCCUCCAUUAGCCUCUCUGAGCCAUUACGUGGAGGUGAUUGACUCUUCCGCCAUAAAGGUGAUGUCAAGCUCCCUUCAGGGAAAUUGAAGAUCAGAACAAAAGUCAAUUUCUUUAUGGGCACCUGUAAUAAUUUGGUUUCAGUUCCUUUUUUUCUCCUAUUGGAGCCAUGUUUGUACAACAAAGCAGCAAAAUGAUUUGAGCCAAGCAAGGUCAUUGCAAAGGAUAUUUGAGACAUUGGGAAAUGGGAAAAAAGGAGGAAAGGCAGUUUCUCUGACAGGUACAAGAAGCACUUGCCUGUUUCCUGCUCAAGAUCGCCAGCAUUUCUGAGCUUGGGUUCAUGCAAAUGUUUAUCAGCCACAAAGAAGUCCUAUCUGCAUACCACCCACCAGUCGCAGACUUUCGUAAAGUUGUAAUCUACCUUCUUGACCUAGAGAUGCUUUCCAGCGUUCUUCCUUCUCAUCAUCUAAUAUCAUCUGCCUUUUUCCAUGUCUUCCUUAAUAUUUGGAGAAGUGAGAAACUUACUGAAGUAGAGGAAAUAAAGAUUACAAGAUACUUUCAUAUCUUGUGUCUUGGCAACAAGCUGAUCUAUGUACAAGGAGCCUGCAGACCUAGGAUUCAGAUUGUCUAUAGAUUUAUUUGAAGAGAGUCAUUAACUUUAAAACAGAUAUUUUGUCUAGACAGUUCCUGACAUUUAUAUAUAAACUUUAGCUUCUCGAUAUUCCUGUAACCCGCACAGGAAAAAGGGUCAUGUUUAUCUAGACUACAUUAAUAAAGUUGAUGCCUACAGAUGACUAGUAAUUUACUCCAGAUAAUAAUAAUGAGCACUGAUAUAGUGUCAAACUCUAGGAAAGGCAAUAGUUUCAGCAAUUAACAUACAUUAAUAAUUUAAUUCUCAAAUAAUAUUUUGAAAUAAGUCCUAUUACUACUUUACAAUGAAGAAAUUGAGGCACAGAGAGAUGCAGUUACAGUGGAAUGUUACUUCUCCAAAAAAGACAUCCAGAUGGCCAGCAGACAUGAAAAGAUGCUCAACAUCACUCGUCAUCAUGGAAAUGCAAAUCAAAACUGCCAUGAGAUGUCAUCUUACACCUAUCAGAAUGGCUUAAAUCAAAAGCACAAGAAACAAUAAAUGUUGGCAAGGAUAUGGAACAAAAGGAACCUUCUUGCACUGUUGGUGGGAAUGCACACUGGUGCAGCCACUUUGGAAAACAGUAUGGAGGUUCCUCAAAAAGUUAAAAAUAGAACUAGCCUAUGAUCCAGUAAUCAUGCUACUAGGUAUUUACCCCCAAAAUACAAAACACUAAUUCAAAGGGUUACAUGCACCCCUAUGCUUAUAGCAGCGUUAUUUAUAAUAGAUGAGAUAUGGAAGCAGCCCAAGUGUCCAUCGAUUAAUGAAUGGAUAAAGAUGUGGUACACACACACACACACGCACACACAAUGGAAUAUUAUUCAGCCAUUAAAAGGAAUGAAAUCUUGUCAUUUGCAAUGACAUGGAUGGAGCUAGAGAGUAUAAUGCUAAGUGAAAUAAGAAAGUCAGAGCAAGACAAAUACUAUAUAAUUUCACUUAUAUAUGGAAUUUAAGAAACAAAGCAAGUGAGCAAAGGGGGAAAAAAAGAGACAAGCCAAGAAACAGACUCUUAACUACUGACAGGAGACUGAUGGUUACCAGAGGGGAAGUGGGGGGGGGGGGGCGUUAAAUAGAUGAUGCGGAUUAAGGAAUGCACUUAUCAUGAUGAACACAGGGUGACGUAUGGAAUUGGUGAAUCACGACAUUGUACCCCGGAAAUUAAUACUACAGUGUAUGUUAACUACACCGGAAUUGAAAUUUUAAAAAUAAAAAAAAAAAUGCUGGAGUGUUAACCUUGAGAGUCCCAGCCUGAGUCCUUUGAUUUGUGAGUACUAGAGACAGUCAGAGAGAGGAAAGAAGGAAGUUCACAGCUGUCCUUUACUGGAGAUGCACUGGUACUGACGGCCUAACUACUCCUUCUACUUAUAUAAAGUGCUUGGAAUGCAAGUGUCCAGUAGAAUUCUGCAAUCCUAAAAGGUUAUUGUCUUACAGGCAGCAGAUAGCUGUCUGUCUUCUUUCUAAUAUGAAAAUCCAUAUCUCUGUCCUACUCUCCUGCAGAUUCAAUAGUGGAAUGCCUGGAAGCCUAGAAAACAUGCAAAGAAAGAUCUGGCAGGCAGAGAUUUUAAAAGCCUACAUUUAUUUAUUUAUAUAUAUAAAAAAAUUAGCCAGCUAGAAAGGCAUCAUCCCCCACCAAGGGCUUA